CCGAGUUUACAACUCCCAAACCCCUGUGAACAUACCACUUGUUGCCUCGGCGGAUCAGCCCGCUCCCGGUAAAACGGGACGGCCCGCCAGAGGACCCCUAAACUCUGUUUCUAUAUAUAACUCCUGAGUAAAACCAUAAAUAAAUCA
rnacentral:misc_RNA from 1 species